rfam:Colletotrichum higginsianum, IMI 349063, WGS project CACQ02000000 data, contig: cont1.8852
GGUCUGGUGGUGUAGUUGGUUAUCACGUCAGUCUAACAGCUCGAGAGUCUCACCGCUCCCGUCUGCCACACUGAAGGUCUCCGGUUCAAGUCCGGGCUAGAUCA